GAUGAACGCUGGCGGCGUGCCUAAUACAUGCAAGUCGAGCGAACGGACGAGAAGCUUGCUUCUCUGAUGUUAGCGGCGGACGGGUGAGUAACACGUGGAUAACCUACCUAUAAGACUGGGAUAACUUCGGGAAACCGGAGCUAAUACCGGAUAAUAUUUUGAACCGCAUGGUUCAAAAGUGAAAGACGGUCUUGCUGUCACUUAUAGAUGGAUCCGCGCUGCAUUAGCUAGUUGGUAAGGUAACGGCUUACCAAGGCAACGAUGCAGAGCUGACCGGAGAGGAUGAUGCGCAACACUGGAACUGAGACACGGUCCACACUCCUACGGGAGGCACCAGUGGGGAAUAUUGGACAAUGGGCGCAAGCCUUAUCCAUCCAUACCGCGUGGGUGAAGAAGACCUUCGGGUUGUAAAGACCUUUUGUUGGGAAAGAAAAGCAGCAGGUUAAAACCCCGCUGUUCUGACGGUACCCAAAGAAUAAGCACCGGCUAACUUCGUG
rnacentral:rRNA from 1 species